UUGAUCGAGUGCAUGCUUUGCAAAAGAAAAGUCUAUUUCUACUUAAAGCCAUAUGUAACCAAUCAGUAUGAUUGAUGUAUACUGUCUAACUAUUAAAUGUUCCUGUUCCUGCUAGCAGAAUACACCAAACUAAUCGACUCGAGUCAUCCUAUAAUGUCUUCACUAAAUGUCAUGGUUGUGCAAACAUUUCUGAUGUCAAUGCAAAUAACUGAUACUAUACAUUCCAGUGAGAAAAGAAAGAUGCACUGUACUUAAGAGUCUGUAUCGAGCAAAACAUUCAAAAAAUGGUGGUUUUUAUGAAAAGUCAGUUCAAAUGCAGCUAUGUUCAACCUUUGUUAAUUUUAUGCAUUGACUAACAUGCAUGUAAAGUAAAUGUGCUUCUGAUGUGAAGAUUAUACCGCAGAUUAUAUAUAUAUAUAUAGAAGUUUAAUGAUUGUACCCACACAGUACCUUUGACAAUCAAAAUAGUUUCCAAUUGUCAUGACUGAAACGUUGCUGUUUAGUUCAGUGUUUGUUUUACAUUUUAUUGAAUAGUCUUCCAUUUAAUUUAUCAUCUUUACCAUCAUUUAUAUAUUCCUGAUUGUUUUUUAUUUAGUAAGUGUAUUAGUUUACAUUUAUUGGAAUGUAGUGAAUUCUUUUUUUUUUUAAUUUGUUUGAGUUUAGAAAAGAAAGGACUGGACAUUAUGAUGAUACUGGUGUAAAUUUUUAAAUGUGUGCACAAAUAUCUAUCUAUUAAUUCGAUAAUUGUUGCAAAUCUUACAAUUCACUGGUAGUUAAUUAUGUGUCUGUGCAAAGUAAACUUCACAAGAGCAUUUUGUGUUUGAAUUGGAACGUCUUUGGCUAUUGGCAAACAUGAUAAUACAUGUACACAAACAUGAUCAACUAUUGGCAAAUGUGCCUCAAUAUACAAAUCAUUGCACAUUCAUUUAAUUCUGAGCUUCACAGACACAAGCUGCCAGGCAUAAUGUAUUGGUUUGUGGCGAGAUCCAUUUGUAACGUCUAUUGAACUGAUGGAAAAUUGUGCACGCAUACAUUAAUAGUUUUGAGGCCAAUUUUUUAACCAUUUCAGAUGGUGAUCAGUGCUAUGUCAGAGUAAACCUGCACACACACACACACACACACACACACACACACGAGAUCAUGACCACUGGAGAGGCUUGCAUAACUAAAGGUAACCUGCUUUUAUCAAAAAUGAAUUAUAGACACUUGCAUAUAGGUGACAGUAAACAAACUUGAGUUUAUUUCAAAACGCUCUCCUUCAGCUGAUAUACAUGUUCGUUCUGCUUACUGUUAAACAUCCAAACCAUCACAAUGGCUUAACAAUUUUGUCCACACACACAUCUGUCGCACACACACUCACUCACUCUCGUAGCGCUCUGAAAAACAAAAGAUCUGAACAGAAAGAAAAUUGAAACGAAGUGGAAUGAAAACAAAUAAAAACAAAACAAAAUGCAAAGUACAAUAA